rnacentral:rRNA from 1 species
GAUAAACGCUGGCGGCGUGCCUAAUGCAUGCAAGUCGAACGGGAGCCCCCUCGGGGGUCGACCGUGGCGGACGGGUGAGAAGCACGUGGCUAACCUGCCCGAAUCUCGGGGAUAACCAGCGGAAACGCUGGCUAAUACCGGAUGUGUUCAUUCUCGGGGACGGGGAUGAACAAAGCGCUCUGGUAGCGGAUUCGGAGGGGGCUGCGUCCGAUUAGCUAGUUGGUGGGGUAAAGGCUUACCAAGGCGACGAUCGGUAGCUGGUCUGAGAGGAUGAUCAGCCACACGGGGACUGAGACACGGCCCCGACUCCUACGGGAGGCAGCAGCAAGGAAUUUUCCACAAUGGGCGCCAGCCUGAUGGAGCAACGCCGCGUGGGGGAUGACGCGUUUCGGCGUGUAAACCCCUUUUCCGAGAGACGAAAAACAUGACGGUAUCUCGGGAAUAAGGUCCGGCUAACUACGUGCCAGCAGCCGCGGUAACACGUAGGGACCGAGCGUUGUCCGGAGUUACUGGGCGUAAAGGGCGCGCAGGCGGUUGGUCGCGUCGGGCGUGAAAGCCCCCCGCUUAACGGGGGAGGGUCGUCCGAAACGGGCCAACUGGAGGCAGGGAGAGGUCGGUGGAAUUCCCGGUGUAGUGGUGAAAUGCGUAGAUAUCGGGAGGAACACCAGUGGCGAAGGCGGCCGACUGGACCUGGCCCUGACGCUGAGGCGCGAAAGCGUGGGGAGCGAACGGGAUUAGAUACCCCGGGUAGUCCCACGCAGUAAACGAUGUGCACUAGGUGUAGCGGGUGUUGACCCCUGCUGUGCGGGCGCUAACGCAGUAAGUGCACCGCCUGGGGAGUACGGCCGCAAGGCUAAAACUCAAAGGAAUUGACGGGGCCCCGCACAAGCAGCGGAGCGUGUGGUUUAAUUCGACGCAACGCGAAGAACCUUACCAGGACUUGACAUCCCGGGAAGCUUGCUGAAAGGUGAGUGUGCCCUUCGGGGAGCCCGGAGACAGGUGCUGCAUGGCUGUCGUCAGCUCGUGUCGUGAGAUGUUGGGUUAAGUCCCGCAACGAGCGCAACCCCUGUGGUUAGUUACGUGGUUUGUCUAGCCAGACUGCCGGUACGGCCGGAGGAAGGCGGGGAUGAGGUCAAGUCAGCAUGGCCCUUAUGUCCUGGGCAACACACACGCUACAAUGGCCGGUGCAGAGGGCAGCCAAGCCGCAAGGCGGAGCCAAUCCCAGAAAGCCGGUCUCAGUGCGGAUUGGGGGCUGCAACUCGCCCCCAUGAAGGCGGAGUUGCUAGUAACCGCUGGUCAGCAUACAGCGGUGAAUAUGUUCUCGGGGCUUGUACACACCGCCCGUCACGUCAUGGAAGCCGGUAACACCUGAAGUCGGUGAGCCAACCCUUUGGGGGGCAGCCGCCGAGGGUGGGACUGGUGACUGGGACGAAGUCGUAACAAGGUAACC